CCUACGGGCGGCAGCAGUGAGGAAUAUUGGUCAAUGGACGCAAGUCUGAACCAGCCAUGCCGCGUGCAGGAAGACGGCUCUAUGAGUUGUAAACUGCUUUUGUACGAGGGUAAACGCAGAUACGCGUAUCUGUCUGAAAGUAUCGUACGAAUAAGGAUCGGCUAACCCCGUGCCAGCAGCCGCGGUAAUACGGAGGAUUCAAGCGUUAUCCGGAUUUAUUGGGUUUAAAGGGUGCGUAGGCGGUCGGAUAAGUUAGAGGUGAAAUCCCGAGGCUCAACUUCGGAAUUGCCUCGGAUACUGUUCGGCGAGAGAGUAGUUGCGGUAGGCGGAAUGUAUGGUGUAGCGGUGAAAUGCUUAGAGAUCAUACAGAACACCGAUUGCGAAGGCAGCUUACCAAGCUACUUCUGACGUUGAGGCACGAAAGCGUGGGGAGCAAACAGGAUUAGAUACCCCUGUAGUC
rnacentral:rRNA from 1 species